rnacentral:rRNA from 1 species
UUACGGAAGGCAGCAGUGGGGAAUUUUGCGCAAUGGGGGAAACCCUGACGCAGCAACGCCGCGUGAGUGAUGAAGGCCUUCGGGUCGUAAAGCUCUGUCAGAGGGGAAGAAGUGUAUGGGUGCUAAUACCAUCUAUACUUGACGGUACCCUCAAAGGAAGCACCGGCUAACUCCGUGCCAGCAGCCGCGGUAAUACGGAGGGUGCAAGCGUUGUUCGGAUUUAUUGGGCGUAAAGCGCGUGUAGGCGGUCUUUUAAGUCUGAUGUGAAAGCCCCGGGCUCAACCCGGGAAGUGCAUUGGAAACUGGGAGACUUGAAUACGGGAGAGGGUAGUGGAAUUCCUAGUGUAGGAGUGAAAUCCGUAGAUAUUAGGAGGAACACCGGUGGCGAAGGCGGCUACCUGGACCGAUAUUGACGCUGAGACGCGAAAGCGUGGGGAGCAAACAGGAUUAGAUACCCGUGUAGUCCA